rnacentral:rRNA from 1 species
GAUGAACGCUGGCGGCGUGCCUAAUACAUGCAAGUCGAGCGAACGGACGAGAAGCUUGCUUCUCUGAUGUUAGCGGCGGACGGGUGAGUAACACGUGGAUAACCUACCUAUAAGACUGGGAUAACUUCGGGAAACCGGAGCUAAUACCGGAUAAUAUUUUGAACCGCAUGGUUCAAAAGUGAAAGACGGUCUUGCUGUCACUUAUAGAUGGAUCCGCGCUGCAUUAGCUAGUUGGUAAGGUAACGGCUUACCAAGGCAACGAUGCGUAGCCGAGCUGAGAGGGUGAUCAGCCACACUGGAACUGAGACACGGUCCAGACUCCUACGGGAGGCAGCAGUAGGGAAUCUUCCGCAAUGGGCGAAAGCCUGACGGAGCCACGCCGCGUGAGUGAUGAAGGUCUUCGGAUCGUAAAACUCUGUUAUUAGGGAAGAAAAUAUGUGUAAGUAACUGUGCACAUCUUGACGGUACCUAAUCAGAAAGCCACGGCUAACUACGUG